CGUGGGCAAUCUGCCCUGCACUCUGGGACAAGCCCUGGAAACGGGGUCUAAUACCGGAUACGACCAUCUCGGGCAUCCGAUGGUGGUGGAAAGCUCCGGCGGUGCAGGAUGAGCCCGCGGCCUAUCAGCUUGUUGGUGGGGUGAUGGCCUACCAAGGCGACGACGGGUAGCCGGCCUGAGAGGGCGACCGGCCACACUGGGACUGAGACACGGCCCAGACUCCUACGGGAGGCAGCAGUGGGGAAUAUUGCACAAUGGGCGGAAGCCUGAUGCAGCGACGCCGCGUGAGGGAUGACGGCCUUCGGGUUGUAAACCUCUUUCAGCAGGGAAGAAGCGCAAGUGACGGUACCUGCAGAAGAAGCACCGGCUAACUACGUGCCAGCAGCCGCGGUAAUACGUAGGGUGCGAGCGUUGUCCGGAAUUAUUGGGCGUAAAGAGCUCGUAGGCGGCUUGUCACGUCGGAUGUGAAAGCCCGGGGCUUAACCCCGGGUCUGCAUUCGAUACGGGCA
rnacentral:rRNA from 1 species